rnacentral:rRNA from 1 species
UACGAAGGGGGCUAGCGUUGCUCGGAAUCACUGGGCGUAAAGGGUGCGUAGGCGGGUCUUUAAGUCAGGGGUGAAAUCCUGGAGCUCAACUCCAGAACUGCCUUUGAUACUGAGGAUCUUGAGUUCGGGAGAGGUGAGUGGAACUGCGAGUGUAGAGGUGAAAUUCGUAGAUAUUCGCAAGAACACCAGUGGCGAAGGCGGCUCACUGGCCCGAUACUGACGCUGAGGCGCGAAAGCUAGGGGAGCGAACUGG